UCUCGAAAUAAAGACGGCCAAUAGAAACCACAUUCUAGCACUUUUCUCGCCGUCCUCUUAGCUCCAAAAUGACCUUCACAUGCAUAAGAAUGACAAAAGGUGAGAAUAGAAAUAAUUUCAUUUUCAGGAACGCACCUUCUUAUCACUUGAUCUGCACAAUGCUUCCAUAAGUAUGGAUCAUACCACACAUAGUAUUUGGCAUCACUCUUGAUCUUAUCUCUUUGAGCCUUAGACAAACCAGAAGGUAACAUAUUAGUAACCAAAUAAUUUACAGGAUUUGCAUACCAAGGUAAUGUCACACUUGUGGAGAACAAUUGCUCAUCAGGGAAUGUUUCCUACAGACUAAUUUCAUCCUCCAUAUGAACUAAACGACUCAAAUGAUCUGCGACACGAUUUUCUGUCCCUCUUUUGUCUUUGAUCUCCAAGUCAAAUUCACUUAAUAGAAGUAUCCAUCUUAUUAAUCUU
rnacentral:lncRNA from 1 species